rnacentral:rRNA from 1 species
CGUGGAGUGAUUUGUCUGGUUUAUUCCGGUAACGAGCGAGACUCUAACCUACUAAAUAGUUGGUACAUACUCUUAGUGUAUACAGCUUCUUAGAGGGAUUUGCGGCGUUCAGCCGAAAGAAAUUGAGCAAUAACAGGUCUGUGAUGCCCUUAGAUGCCCGGGGCUGCACGCGCGCUACACUGGAGAAUUCAGCUGGUCUUCCAUUGCCGAAAGGUAUUGGUAAACCGUUGAAACUUCUCCGUGACCGGGAUAGGGAACUGUAAUUAUUUCCCUUGAACGAGGAAUUCCUAGUAAGUGUGAGUCAUCAGCUCACGCUGAUUACGUCCCUGCCCUUUGUAC